rnacentral:rRNA from 1 species
UACGUAGGGUGCGAGCGUUAAUCGGAUUUACUGGGCGUAAAGCGUGCGUAGGCGGUUUGCUAAGUCGGUUGUGAAAGCCCUGGGCUUAACCUGGGAAUUGCAGUCGAUACUGGCGGACUAGAGAACGGUGGAGGGAGGCGGAACUCCAGGUGUAGCGGUGAAAUGCGUAGAUAUCUGGAAGAACACCGAUGGCGAAGGCAACCUCCUGGGCCUGUCCUGACGCUGAGGCACGAAAGCGUGGGUAGCAAACAGG